rnacentral:rRNA from 1 species
UACAGAGGUCUCAAGCGUUGUUCGGAUUCAUUGGGCGUAAAGGGUGCGUAGGUGGCGCUGUAAGUCGGGUGUGAAAUUUCGGAGCUUAACUCCGAAACUGCAUUCGAUACUGCGGUGCUUGAGGACUGGAGAGGAGACUGGAAUUCAUGGUGUAGCAGUAAAAUGCGUAGAGAUCAUGAGGAAGACCAGUGGCGAAGGCGGGUCUCUGGACAGUUCCUGACACUGAGGCACGAAGGCCAGGGGAGCAAACGGG